CUAAAUGAAGACUAAUCUGUCUCCCUUGACUAAUCAGUGAAACUGAUCUACCAGUUAAAAAGCUGGUAUAAAACCAUAAGACGAGAAGACCCUGUGGAGCUUUAAAUUUUAAGUCAAACAUGCAACACAACCAAACACCACUGAUCUUAACAUUUUAAGUUGGGGCGACUUCGGAACAAAACAAAACUUCCGAGCAUAAAGAACAUAAAUCUAACCAAGACCAACAAGUCAAAGCAAAACCAGACCCAGUACAACUGAUCACCGAACCAAGUUACCCCAGGGAUAACAGCGCAAUCUUCUUCAAGAGUCCCUAUCGACAAGAAGGUUUACGACCUCGAUGUUGGAUCAGGACACCCAAAUGGUGUAGCCGCUAUUAAA
rnacentral:rRNA from 1 species